GUGGUUGUCCACCAUGCUGGAGGAGUCGUCGAUGGCCAGGCAGAUCUGGUACUCCCUCUUGCUGGGCUUGGUUCUCCGGAGCCAGAUCUUGUCCUUGCGGAACUGACUGGCGAUGUAAGGGAUGACCUUCCUCAUGUUCAGACGCUUACCGGUCCGGUAGUCCCCCCUGUGGAGCGCAGCAUUAGAGCAGGGCAUCAACUAGUAACCAACUAGUUACCAACCCCCCUGUGGAGACCAGCAUUAGAGCAGUAUUACCAACUAGUUACCAACCCCCCUGUGGAGACCAGCGCAG
ensembl:lncRNA